rnacentral:rRNA from 1 species
UACGAAGGGGGCUAGCGUUGCUCGGAAUCACUGGGCGUAAAGCGCACGUAGGCGGAUUGCUAAGUCAGGGGUGAAAUCCUGGAGCUCAACUCCAGAACUGCCUUUGAUACUGGCGACCUUGAGUCCGGGAGAGGUGAGUGGAACUGCGAGUGUAGCGGUGAAAUGCGUAGAUAUCGGAAGGAACAUCAGUGGCGAAAGCGGCUUCCUGGACCAGCACCGACGUCAGGCACGAAAGCGUGGGGAGCAAACAGG